rnacentral:rRNA from 1 species
GAUGAACGCUGGCGGCGUGCCUAAUACAUGCAAGUCGAGCGAACAGACGAGGAGCUUGCUCCUCUGACGUUAGCGGCGGACUGGUGAGUAACACGUGGAUAACCUACCUAUAAGACUGGGAUAACUUCGGGAAACCGGAGCUAAUACCGGAUAAUAUAUUGAACCGCAUGGUUCAAUAGUGAAAGACGGUUUUGCUGUCACUUAUAGAUGGAUCCGCGCCGCAUUAGCUAGUUGGUAAGGUAACGGCUUACCAAGGCGACGAUGCGUAGCCGACCUGAGAGGGUGAUCGGCCACACUGGAACUGAGACACGGUCCAGACUCCUACGGGAGGCAGCAGUAGGGAAUCUUCCGCAAUGGGCGAAAGCCUGACGGAGCAACGCCGCGUGAGUGAUGAAGGUCUUCGGAUCGUAAAACUCUGUUAUUAGGGAAGAACAAAUGUGUAAGUAACUAUGCACGUCUUGACGGUACCUAAUCAGAAAGCCACGGCUAACUACGUG